GACGAACGCUGGCGGCGUGCUUAACACACGCAAGUCGAACGGAAAGGCCCUGCUUUUGUGGGGUGCUCGAGUGGCGAACGGGUGAGUAACACGUGAGUAACCUGCCCUUGACUUUGGGAUAACUUCAGGAAACUGGGGCUGAUACCGGAUAGGAGCUCCUGCUGCAUGGUGGGGGUUGGAAAGUUUCGGCGGUUGGGGAUGGACUCGCGGCUUAUCAGCUUGUUGGGGGGGUAGUGGCUUACCAAGGCUUUGACGGGUAGCCGGCCUGAGAGGGUGACCGGCCACAUUGGGACUGAGAUACGGCCCAGACUCCUACGGGAGGCAGCAGUGGGGAAUAUUGCACAAUGGGCGGAAGCCUGAUGCAGCAACGCCGCGUGCGGGAUGACGGCCUUCGGGUUGUAAACCGCUUUCGCCUGUGACGAAGCGUGAGUGACGGUAAUGGGUAAAGAAGCACCGGCUAACUACGUG
rnacentral:rRNA from 1 species